CCGCGGUACCCGCCGAGAGACCUGGCCCGGUGAUCGCGGUGUGGCCUCGCACCAGUGCCCGGGGCUGUGAGGAGAAUGCGGGUGGGAGGAAGCCGAACGGGACGCAUCUGGAGGAUGGAACCCCAUCAUAAACUGAAGAUCUAUGCACAUAAAUCAACUUUUUCAGUGGGCCCUGGAACUUGAGAGUCUAGGGAUGGUUUGAAGCAAAAAUUAGAUUUCUACAAUACAACAAAAAAUCGUUGAAGAGGAAAUCAGUGAACUGGAAGAUAGUACUGAGAAAAUCCCUCUGAAUGCAGCACAGAAACAUUGAGAAACAGAGACUACCGAAGACAUAUAUUGUUUGAGAAUCUCUGUCAUAUAUGUAGUGGAGUUCCAGAGAAAGAGAACAUAAAGAAUAGGGAAAAAGAAGAUAUUAAAAGUUAUCAUGGCUAAGUAUUUUCUGUAGUUUCAGAUAGAUCAAAAUAGCAAGUCUGAAAGAGCUCAUUGGAAUUGAAGAAUAGGCUAAAAGAAAACCUUACAUGCUAAUCAAAAGAAAAAUCAUAUUGCUCAUAAAGGAAUUAUAUUUAGAAUGACAAAACAAUUCUGUUUGUUAGCAAAGGGUGCCACAAAACACUGAAACAUCUCUAAAGUGCUGAGGAAAAAUCUACUUUUUACCUGAUACUCUAUGUCCAUCUAACCUACCAUAGAAGAAUUAAAAUAGAGACAUCUCAGAUAUCUAAAAAGUAAGUUUUACUACUCAUAGAUUGCUUUGUAAACUACUAAUUAUUGCAAUUCAACAAGAGGGAAAUUAAACAUGAAAGAAAGCUUUGAAAUCAAGAAGCAAUGGAAAAGCAAAGAAAGUGGAAUUAUGUUGGAUAAAUUACAAAUGCCACUGAACACCAUCCAGCCAUCCUGUAUUUCAUAUCAAGGUAUCAAGCAGUUUGAUCUAAGUUGAUAUUGAACAGGUAUAGGGUCUUAGGCUAUACUGAGAUCUGUUUUGGGCUUGAAAAGAUGGAGUUUUUACAGAUAGAACUGAGAUAUAUUUUAAAUGUUCUUCAGGUGCAUGUGUGUUCGUGUGUGUGCACGCACAUGUGUAUGUUUGAAAGAGAGUCACAUCAAUAUGCUGACAAGUCUUCCCUUCUCCAGUCAGGAAAUUUGUGGUCAGCAAAAGACCAAAUCAUGGAUAUGCAGGCAUCAGUGCUUCAGCACUGUUUUUCCCAUGUUUAUUUACCUGCUGCUUCCUUUCUCCGGCCUUACACUUCACUCAUCUCACCCCUGUUCCCUGUUCUCUGUCCCUACUGGUAGUGGCCCUCUCACUGAUUGUUAGGCACUAGGUGAGGAGAAAAAAAGCUAUUCAGUAUAUCACUAUUGUAGAACCAUUUGGCACUAGUUACAUCUAAUCUAGAGUCACUGACCACUAUUAAACAUGGAUUUUUGCCUCUUUUUAAGAUCAUAUUAUAUUCAAUAUAUAGCUUGAAGAUGAAAUGAAAUUCGCCAGACUUUGGAGAAGUAGGUCUCCUGUAACUGACACAAUGUACCUAGAAUAUACGAGUCAUUGCUAGCCUGCUAAGCACCGCUUCACACCAUCCACCAAGUUCCCAUGCAAUUCCCUUUCAGGAAAACCCACUCUACUGGGGUCCAAGCAGGGCCUUACUGGAUGGUGACUUUUGGUGUAGUGACAUGUUAUUCUGGCCUCAGUGAUCUGAUUCAUUGCUUCGAGCCUCAUUCUCUUCUUCAGGUCACAUUGUUUACUUGUCUCUUUCAUCUUGUGAGGGACUACUGCGUUCACAGCACACCACAUUCUGAGCACUGACGUCAAUGAUCUGAUGGUUUCCAGGCAGUUGGCAGAGAUCUGCUCACAGUUCUAUCACUCAUCCGCUUGAACGAUCAUAAAGAGAAAGCCAAGCAGACCCCUUUCCACACUUGUGCUAUUUUUAUUCUUAGCACUCUACUGAGACUUGGCAACAGCCAGUGAAACCAGGAGCUAUUUUGUUUGGACUAGGUCAGCAGUCAUCCUCGGAGAUGUUCAUCUAUCUUGUUUGUUAUGGCACAGCGGUCUCUGUUCCAACAUUCCGUCUGAAUCAUAGAUGGCUUGGAUAAAUCCACCUUGAUAAAUCACAUAGAGAGCUGAAUCACAGGCAUUAACUUUUGAAAUUCACAUUUAAAUCGAGCAUUAUUAAUAAAAUGGAACUGGUAUAUGCCUACCAACAUUAUUUCUUAGUUAAGAACUAAGAAACAAGGAUGCAAGCUCAAAGAAUUCCAGUUUCUCUAAACUAUCAAGAGAUGUUUAAGUAUAUGGCUUUUUAGAAAGACCGGUUUCACUGUUCUUAGAGUUCUAAUUAUAUUAAAGAAGGUGUUAUUUCUUUUUUUGAUGUAUCAAAGUUGAGUGAUUUUUUUUUAAAGGAAGGAAUAAUUAGGGAAAUGAGGUGUCCUCUGUAGAAUUAAGCUAGGAUCCUCUUAGUAAAGUUUGUGUGUAGAUCUCUAACCACACUUUGUGUUUUGACUUUCAUGCUUAUUCUCUUGCUUAUUAUUCUCUUUAAAAAUACAGGUUUCCUAUGAUAUUCAGACUUCUUUAUGAGUUCUAGUGUCACUGCAAUAUGCCUCUCAUCCUAUCUUCAGAUCAUCACUUCUGCGUUUUCCACCUUUGGUACCUACUGAGGUCUUCACAACCAUCUCAUGAGGCUGCACAAGGAAGGGAGUGUGACAGAUUCCCAAAGUGUCCUUCAAGGUGGUGGCAAAAAAAGCCAUAGGACAGAAAGUCAGAGCUCCCCCCUCCACUUGUCCGUGGAAUGACUCCUCGUUCCAUCUUCUCUUCAGCACGCAUAGAUUGUCCCUGAGGAUGCUUGCAGAACUCGAAGUAUCAGCCAGAAUGCCAGCUUUAAAUCACCGUGAGGAAUGCAACUAUCAAGCUCUCUGGCAACUCAUGUUUGUUGAUCGCUACCUUCUCUCCCUGUGGGCAAAGCUACGUGGGAUGUUAAAUUGAUAGUUGGGAGAUGGGUUGAAAAAGAAGAAUUGGAACAAAAGGUACUAGAUGAGGUGACUGGGCAUGACAGGUUGCAAUGGCCGGUUGCAUUCAUUUCUGCUUUGGGUGUUCAGCGGCCAGAGGCCUCUGCAGGUUGAAUCCCUGGGCCAGGCAGGGCACAGACUCUCUCAGGCAGUGCACUGCAGUAGAGUUCAAAACUUGUCACUGCACUUGACGCACCUGAACAAUUUAAAAAAUUUUAAGACCGAGAUAUUUAGUAUCUACAAAAACUGUUUUUGAAAUAUAUAUAAGGUGUAAAGAAAAAAAUAGUAAACAUCUACUUAUCUACUGUCCAGGCAAGAAACAGAGCGUUGUCAAGAAUGUUGAAAUUUCUCGUGUGUCCCAUUUCCUUUCUUAAAUAACUGUGGUCUAGCAUUUGGGGUUUACAACUUCAUGUCUUUUCAUAACAGCAUUACAUUUUCCUUGACCCUCUAAACAACUUAUUGUCUUUAUAUGAAUGGAAUCAGGUGGUACAUAUUUUUUAACAAACUGGUUUUUUUUUUUAAUUCAUGAUAUUUUGUAUAGCUGAAAUUCAUUAAAUUUGACUAGGGCAUAGAAAUUCAUUGUAAUAACACAUAAUUCAUUUAUCUAUACUAUUAUUGACAGGCAUUUGGGUUGUUCAGAAUUUGGUGAGAUAAUAAACAGUGCUGCUAUGUACAUUUUGGGGUAUUUCUCUUGGUGCAUAUGUGCAUGGAUUUCCAGGAGUGGAAUUCUUGGGUCCUGGGUAUACACAUUUUCAAUUUUAGUACGCAAUGACAAAUUAUGUUGUAAAGUGGUUGUAGAAACUAUUGAAUCUUCUAUCAGCAGUAUAAAAUUCAUGCUUUUUCCACAUCCUCACCAGCAUGUAAUGUUGCCGGACUUUAAUCUCCAUGAUGGGUAUGAUGUUUUAUCUCAUUGCAGUUUGAAUUUACACUUCAUUGUUUCUAAUGUUGAGCAUCUUUUCAUAUGUUCCUUUCCAUUUGUGAUUAUUUACCUGCAAAUUUCUUAUUCAAAAUCUUGCCCUUUUAUUGAAUUUUUAAAUUUGUUUUUAAUUGAUUUGUAGGAGGGUGGGUUUUGUUUUGUUUUGCUUAAAUUUAUUUCGGAUAUUAAUCUUUUGUCAGUUUUGUGUGUCAAAAAUCUCUUUUUCCAGUUUGUGUAUUUUUUUCUUUUAAUUAUUCUUACAUCUUUUAAAUGAAAUGAUAGAAUUUAACUUUUCCUUUAUGGCUUGUGUUUAAAAAAAUUCUUCCUUAUAUGGGGGUCAUAAAGAUAUUCUCCUAUGUUGUUAGCUUUGCUGUUUUCAUUGAAGACUUUAAUAGAACUGGUUUAAAAUAGUGUGAUAGGGAUAUAAUUUUAUUUUUUCAUCUGUGGAUACCCACAUAUGCCAUGAUAAUUUGUUGAACAGUAUAUUCUUUCUUCAAUGAUCUGCUCAAUAAUAUAUCAAUAUCAAAGAUCCACUGAGUAGAUCUGUUUUGGAGCUUUCUAUUGUGCUUCAUUUGAUAAUCCUAUGAUGACCCCUUUAUCAUAUUAUUAUGGCUUUAUAAUAAUCGAAAUAUGUGAUAAAAUAUCACAUAUUUUGCUCAUCCAUAUACAUUUUUAAAUCAGCUUCCCAAGUACCACAACAUGCCUGUUGGGAUUUUGAUGGGAAUAUUAUUGAAAUUACCAGUCAGUUUGGGAAGAAUUGGUGUUUUUAUGGUAUCAAGUCUUCUUAUCCAUGUAUAUGAUGUAUUUAUCUAUGUUUACUUAGUUUUUAAAAUAAAGUUUUAUAUGAUUUUCUUUGUAAGGUUCUUGAACAGUUUUGUUAUAUUUAUUCCUGUUUUAUAAUUUUGAUGUUAUUGUAUAUUUUAAAUUUUUUAUUUUAUAUUUAUUGAUAUUUAUUUUUAUAUAAUGAGUUUUAUAUCCUGCAGCUGUGCUAAAUUACCUUGUGAAUUUUAGUAACUUAUCUGUAGCUUCUUUUAGAUUUCUAAUAUAUAGCUUAUAUCCACAAAUAAUGACACUUUUCUUUCUUUCUUUUUAAUCCUCAUAACUUUAGUUACUUUUUUAGCCUGUUUACUGGAUAUUCCCUCCAGUAUACUAUUAUAUAAAUGGGUCUAGUGGAUGCCCUCAUCUUCUUCCUAAGCUCAAAGGGAAUGCUUUAAAUAUUUUACCAUUAAAUAUGAUGCUAGUUGUAAGUUUCCUAUAACUACCCUUUGUCAGUUUAAGGAAGCCCUCUUCUAUUCCUAACUUAUAAUUUUUUUAAUUUAGAAAAGGAUGUGGAAUUUUAUCAAUUACUUUUUCUAUUUCUAUUGAGAUGAUUGUGUGAUUUCUCCUUUCAUCAGUUAGUACAAUAAUAUACAUUAAUUGAUUUCUUAUGUAAAACCAAAUUUACACUCCUGAGAUCAAACAAAUGAUGUAUUAUCUUAAAACACACACACACACACACACACUUCUGGAUUGUGUUUGUUAAUAUUCUAAUUUUUGUAUCUGUGUUCAUGAGGAAGAUUGAUCUGCAAUUUUGUUCUCAUAUUUCACUGAGUUUUGUAUGAAAGUUUUACUAGCCUAUUAAAGUGGCCUAAGGGCAAUCCCACCUUUCUGUUCACUUAGAUAAUUCAUGAGAUUGGAAUUGUUUUUCCUUGAAUAUUUGUGGACUUGUUUUAUCCUUGACUAUUUGCUGGAAAUUGCUAGCAGCACCUACUGGACCUGGUUUUUCUGUAGGAAGAUUUUAAACUUCUAAUUUAAUUUCCCUAUGGCUAUAUAACUAUUCAUAUUUCCCAUUUCUCCCUAAAUAAAUUUUGGUAAUCUUUUUUUUUUUCUUCUAGAGGUUUAUCCAUUUCAUCUGAGUUUUCAAACACAUCACAAAAAGUUGUUGAUAAUACCCACCCAUUAUCUUUUUAGUCUUUGAAGUAUUGUUGAUUUUUUAUUCCCAAUAUUGUUUAUUAGUGUCUUUUCACCUUUGCAAAACUUUUUCAGAGAUGUUUUUCUAUUUUAUGUGUUCUGUCAAAGAAUCUUGAUUUAUUUUUUUACCCUGGUAUUUUUUCCAGGAAAUUUGUCUACUCUCUUAUAGAGUCAUUUCCUCUGUCAAGCAAUGGCAUUCAGCAUUUCGUAUUACUCUGGACACCUCAAAGACGACUUUUUAUUUCACAAGUAUUUUAAAUGCUUCUUAAGUAUAAAUUUAGGUAGAAUUCAAUUUGGAAAAAAAAUUAUGAAGCCAGUUUAAUUGAGGAUUUAGGAUAUUAAAUGCUGCCUUGUAUAACCUUAAGUAGGCAGUUGAGUGCUCAUACAAACCUUUCACUAUUUUUGCAAGCUUUUGCAGGCAGGCCUGAACAGGUUGGUUUUCAAAUCCUCUAAGCAAUCUACCAGCACAAACACAGCAAGCACCAGAAAGGACAAACAGAACCCUAGCUGUUUCAACCAGUGCCGGAGAUAAAGGGUGAGAUUAAGUCAGAAAGUCAUAGGAUCUAUGUUUCCAGCCUUAUUGUACAUCGCACCCCUCACCUUCCCCUGCCAGCUACAUGAAGUCAUACAUUGGUAUCCAGGCAGGACCUGUACUUGCUUGCUUUGCUUCCAUUCUUUCCUCAGCCUGGAAUUCUUUUCUUAUGUUUGUUUUGCCCCAAACAAAUCUAUCCUGAUAUGAUGGGUACUUGUUAGGUUUAUGCCUAGCCUAUACUCCUCCUUUUUUUUGAGUUCCUUUCACUUUCAGGAUUUGAGGUCCUCAGGCACUUUAGUGCCUUCUGCUCCUGGGUUAUUCCCUACUCCUCUACCCUGACCAUUGCUAAUAUGACCAGGUUGGACACCUGACUGAAGUUGAAACUCUCAGGUCCUUUCUUCUCAUAAUUUAGAACUGUAAUUCAGAAGUUUUAGUGAGUCUUUGAUGGCCACCCUUGGACCUAGAUCGCGCAGGCUUUGGGGCUGAGGACGUCAUUCUGCAGCAGCCAUGAUGCAAGUAGUAAAAAACCAUCCCAUAAUAGAAGUUAAGGGUAGAUGCCCAAAGAAAGGGAAGAUUGUAGACUUUGUGACUCUGAAAGGCUAGACACAUAUAUUAAGCUCUAUUCCAUGGUGCACUAGAUUCCUGAUUCCAGUCCAGAUUAUCACUGAUCUGGCAGCAAGCUUUCCCGGAGCUCUGUUUUCAGUCUCAGAGUCUUACUCCUACCUUCAGCUAUACCUGGAGAUCCAUACCCACAGCCUUCUGGUCCUUCUCACCAAUGUACAGGUGUCCAGUCUUCUGCCAAGGCUGAGUUCAGGGAAUUCAGACUUUGGAAGCUCAUCUCAGGUCCUGAUUGCUUCUUGUACAAUCCUUCAACCAGUUCUGUUCUCAGUCUACCACAAUCAGGCCCAUUUUUUAGUUAGGUUUCCUUUUUAUUAUUGAGAAGUCACUGUUUUUUAUAUAUUCCAGAUAUGAUUCCUUUAUCAGAUAUAUGAUUUGCAAAGAUUUUUCUCUAGUUCUGUAAGUUGUCUUUUCACUUUUUUGAUGAGGCCCUUUAGGGGGCAGAAGUUUUUAGUUUUGAUGGAGUCUAAUUAGCUGUUUUUCUUUUGUCGCUUGUGCUUUGGUGUCAUAUCUAAGUCCACUGCCAAACCCAAUGUCACAUCGGUUUACACUUAACAUUCAGGCUUUCUUCUAGGACUUUUGCAGUUUUGUCUCUCAUACUUAUGUCUUUGAUCCAUUUUGAGUGAGUUUUGUAGAUGGUGUGAGAUGAGUGAAACUUCAUUCCUUUGCAUGUGGCUACCCAAGUGUCUCUGCACCAUUUAUUGAAAAGACAAUUCUUUCCCCAUUGAAUGAUCUUGGCAGCCUUGUUGAAAAUCACUCAUCCAUUGAUAAGUGGGUUUAUUUCUGGACUUUUACUUCUAUUCCAUUGAUUUUUGUGUCUAACUGAGGUCAGUGCCACACUUUCCUGAUUACUGUUUUUUUGUAGUAAGUGUUGAGAUUGGGAAUUGUUAAGCCCUUCAACUUGGUUCUUCUUUUUCAAGAUUGUUUUGGCUAUUCUGGGUCCCUUGAAUUUCUAUGACUUUUAAUAUGAGCUUGUCAAUUUCUGUAAAGAAACCAGGUGGAAUUCUGAUAGAUUGCAUUGAAUUUGUAGAUCAAUUUAAGAAGUUCCUCAGCUCUAUCUUCCAUUUCCUCCAUGAAAUGUUUCUUGGGUGGAGUAAUAUUUAUGUCUCCUUUUCAUAAGAUUUUUUGAAUAAGGAUAGAAUAAAGUGAAGUUCUGUAACUUUAAAAUGUAAAACCUUUAUACAGAUGAGAAAAUUGUAGGAAUGGGAAAAUACAUGUUUGGGAAAUCUCCUAUUUUAAAUUAAAGAGAUAUUUUAUAUGAUAUUUUUCUAGAAUUUUCCAUUUUUUUCCUAAGGAACAGAAUACAGAGCAAAAAAUUUGAAACAGGGAAAUUGCCAUAUUUAAUAUAUUUAAAUCCUUUUUUGGGGGGGUAAAAAAAUCUCUAUACAGGAAACAAGGACAUAUAUAGCUUAUAAUUCAGUUUGUAUUCCAAGUGAACAGUAAAUAAACUUCAAAAUUUUUUCAUUCCACUGGAACAAAAUACCAGAAAUGUUGUAAAGCUUGGCAAAAGGAAUCAUUUUUGAAAGGUAGUAAACAUUAUUAUUUGUUUUAAUAUUGUUAAUAGUGAUAGCUGUAAUAUUAUUUAUGAUUUACACAACCCUUUUACAUUUUAUAAACUAAGUUCAUACACUUUAUCUCUCUAUAUUAUAUCUCUUCUCCAUCUAUUUUAAAUUAGUCUUGCUUAACC